rnacentral:misc_RNA from 1 species
GAUGAAGAACGUAGUGAAAUGCGAUAAGUAAUGUGAAUUGCAGAAUUCAGUGAGUCAUCGAAUCUUUGAACGCACAUUGCGCCCGCCAGUAUUCUGGCGGGCAUGCCUGUUCGAGCGUCAUUUCAACCAUCAAGCCCCCGGCUUGUGUUGGGGACCUGCGGCUGCCGCAGGCCCUGAAAAGCAGUGGCGGGCUCGCUGUCACACCGAGCGUAGUAGCAUACAUCUCGCUCUGGGCGUGCUGCGGGUUCCGGCCGUUAAACCACCUUCAUAACCCAAGGUUGACCUCGGAUCAGGUAGGAAGACCCGCUGAACUUAAGCAUAUCAAUAAGCGGAGGA